rnacentral:rRNA from 1 species
GGAUGAACGCUGGCGGCGUGCCUACUACAUGCAAGUCGAGCGAACGGACGAGAAGCUUGCUUCUCUGAUGUUAGCGGCGGACGGGUGAGUAACACGUGGAUAACCUACCUAUAAGACUGGGAUAACUUCGGGAAACCGGAGCUAAUACCGGAUAAUAUUUUGAACCGCAUGGUUCAAAAGUGAAAGACGGUCUUGCUGUCACUUAUAGAUGGAUCCGCGCUGCAUUAGCUAGUUGGUAAGGUAACGGCUUACCAAGGCAACGAUGCAUAGCCGACCUGAGAGGGUGAUCGGCCACACUGGAACUGAGACACGGUCCAGACUCCUACGGGAGGCAGCAGUAGGGAAUCUUCCGCAAUGGGCGAAAGCCUGACGGAGCAACGCCGCGUGAGUGAUGAAGGUCUUCGGAUCGUAAAACUCUGUUAUUAGGGAAGAACAUAUGUGUAAGUAACUGUGCACAUCUUGACGGUACCUAAUCAGAAAGCCACGGCUAACUACGUG